AUGGCCGAAUGGUAUUUGACACAACACGCAUGACAUAAACUUACUUGAUAUAAGUCUGAUUGACACUUUUCCAGAGACAGUAAUUUACUUUGGAAACAUUGUAUGAAACAAUAUUUAGAUAAAAUCACCAAUAAGCUUUUUGGAAUAAUAUAAAAGCAACCAUACUAAAACUCCUUUGCUAAAAGUAAUUUAAAUUAAUUCAGUAAAUAGUUUAAUUAAAAUUUUUAGUUAAAUUUCCAAAAGCAACAGCAAGGUGAUAAAAUGAAACGUUUACUUGGAGUAGCUACUGCUUUAUGUUUAGUUUUUAUAUUCAAAGAUGUCAACCAAGUUUUAGAGAACAAUGGUAUUAUAAACCCAGCCGAAAACACUGCAUUCGUUUUCUCAUUUUCCGCCGGACACUCUAAUUUGUUCAAAAGACACACUGAAAACAAAAGAAAUAGUACCCUAGAGACCCAUCUAAAAAGAAACGUUAGAAGACGAAUAAGGAAACAUAAACGAAUACUGAAACAUUUAGAGGAACAAUUACAGAUGUUGUUUACAGCAGAAAAAAACAGUGAUUACAACAAAACAAAAAAGCAGAAAGUACAAAAACAAUACAACAUUAAUAAAUGUUUAAAAAACUUAUAUUUAUAAUAUUUUUUUCUGCUACACUCUAUUUAAAACUAUUA